rnacentral:lncRNA from 1 species
GUGAUAAAAUGCAUGCACUGCUUUAUGCAUUUAUUUUAACUUUUUAAAGGCACUUAAUGUUUUACUGUUGCCUGCUGUGAUACUUAAACCAGUUGGGAACUCACUCAAAUUGUUGGGCUUCUUACACUGUUUGGGGAUUAUGUCCAAUUUAAAAAAAUUAAAAACAAAAAAGUAACCAAGGAUUUUUUACUAUUUUUUUAAGCUCUGAACAAAUAAUAUGGAAUAAAGUAUUAACUGCAGGGCCUUAUAGCUAUGUAACCUGGAGAUAGCUAGCCAACACCACUUGGGUUUACCAAGCUCUAGUGUUGGUGCAUCUGUGAUAUAUGAAGGACAUAUUUCUGAGUCUUUAGGGCCAUUGGGUGCAAGUUGCUAAACCAGAGACGAGAGUGAGGAGUCCAUUCAAGACAGUGUAGAAAUCCACAUAUCAGUAUGGAUGAAUCCAGUGGACAAUAGGUAGGAAAAGCUCCUACCUUGGGGCUUUUCUCACAUUGUGUGUGAGCCUGGCCUGGGGGAGGGUGAGAGAUGGGUGACUGCGUGUCUCAUUGAGCACAGGGUGACUCUGAAGAGUCUGCCCUUCAAGGAAGUCACCAUUUCAUUGUGAAGAGCCAUUCAACAUCUGAACAAGGGAGGAUGAAACUUGCAUAGUCUUAUAAAUGAUGGCUCCUCAAAGAGUAAAGAGAACUUUUCUGUCAGCCUGCACUGGCCUAGGCUUUCUUUUUACCUGUCAAACAGUCUCUUUCUCAGAUUGGAGUCAAUCAAAGGAGCAGUUGGUUCUGAUU